UAAGGCGGCCAUAGCGGUGGGGUUACUCCCGUACCCAUCCCGAACACGGAAGAUAAGCCCGCCUGCGUUCCGGUCAGUACUGGAGUGCGCGAGCCUCUGGGAAAUCCGGUUCGCCGCCUA
rnacentral:rRNA from 1 species